CCCUCCCUCGCUCGGCGAUGGAAGAGCGGGGAGGCGCCCGCGCGUUACGUGAUGAAACCCGCCUGGCGGGCGCAACAGGAGGCUCCCCCGCGGGGGGCAGUGCGCGGUCCGCCGCGUCACGUGAUGCUCCCUGCCAACAGCUGAAUGAAGAUUUCAAAGAAUCUAGAGGAAGUCAAAACUGCAAAAUAGAAGAACAUGGGGCCCCAAAUUAGUCCUUGAAGGAAUCCUGCCCCAGAGAACUGCAUGACCAGAUAUGAAUGGAAAACCACGUAUCACCAGUUCUUGAGGAAAUUCAACAGCUCUAAAGAAAAGGACUAACAAUAACAACAGAAAGAUGAACAAACUGAAAACUGACCCCAGAGAAAAGACAGAUAAAAGAACAGAAAAAAAAGUUGUAAAAAUUCUAAAUAAUAUCAUCCUUAGAAAGACACAUGGGGAUAUUGCAGGAGGCUGCUGUGAAAAGGAAACAAACAACUGCUAGGAUAAAGGAAAAACAACAAGCAACCAAAAUGGAAAUUUUAAAAGAUGAUAGUAAAAUUAAGUAAAACAAUGGAUAGAAUAAAUAAUAGGAUGUAUAUGGCAAAAACUGGGGAUACUUUCCAGAAGCUAAGUGGGGGUAUAUCUCCCUGAGUAUACAAAAAAGGUCAAGAAUGGAAAUUUUGAGAGAAAAAUCAAGAGACUGCCAUGGACUGAAUUGUGUCCCCUUCCUCCCAAAUUCACAUGUUGAACCCCUAACCUCAAGGUAUAUGGGGAUAGGGCCUGUGAGGAGAUAAUAAAAGUUAAAUGAGGGCAGAAGGGUAGGACCCUAAUUUGAUUGAGCUGGUGCCCUUAUAAGAAGAGGAAGAGACACUAGAGCUAUCUCUCCAUCGUGUGAGGACACAGUGAGAAGGCAGCUGUCUGCAAGUCAGGAAGAGAGCCCUCACCAGAAACUGAGUUGGUCAGCACCUUCAUCUUAGCCUUCAAAACUGUAAGAAAAUAAAUUUCUGUUGUUUAAGCCACCCAGUCUAUGGUAUUUUGUUAUGGCAGCCCAAGUUGAGUAAUAUAGAGACACAAAGGAUUGAUUCACAAAUGCCUCCAUUCAUUCAAAAGAAGUAUCAAGAGAGAACUGAGAUUCGGUGGGGAAGAGGUCUACAAAAAAAUAAGAAAAGAAAAUUUCCCCAACUCAAAGAAAGGCUCAAGACUUCUUAGGGCCUGCCAAGUGUCAAGCAAGGUAAAAUUUCAGAGCCAAGAGAACAAAGAAGAAAACAAAGAGAAAAAGAAUUCAGAGAAGAAAAACAGGUUUCCUAAAAGGAACAAAAAUGAGAUUGGCUUCCAGACUUCCAAAAGGUAACUGAAUGCUGGGCAACAAUGAAGCAAUAACUUCAAAAUUUGGAAUUAAAUACUUUUGAGCCUAGAAUUAUGUUCCAUGCUAGCCAAACUAGCAUUCAAGGGAGAGAGCCAAAAAAGACAUUUUCUAUUUCCCCUUCAGAUUGUCAAAAAUGAGGAAACUUGAUUAAAUCCAGCAAUAGCAAGGUUUCAGGGGAAAUGGUACUCUCAGACUCUGUGGGAAUGUCAAUUAGUACAACAAUUUUUUAGAGAGCCACUUGGAAGUGUGUAUCAAAAAUUUCCAUUUCCAGCUAUCUAAUCUGGAGAAAAACUUGUACAAAUGCGUGAGAGGCUCACACAGACAAUGAGGUCAAGAGUGCAGAUCCUGGAGUCAGAGUCCUGGGGGUCGAAUCCCAGCUCAGCUCAGCCACUCUUAGUCAUGGGACUUUGGGUGAGAUUAGUUGCCUCAACAGUGAAAUAGGGGUGAUAAUACAUAGUACCUAUUUCACAGAGUUUUGUUGUUGUUUUGAUUCAUUUUGUUUUUUAAGAAUUGAACAAAUUACAAUGUGCAAAGUGCUUAAAACAGACCCUGGUACAGUAGUCACACUUUAUUGCUGGGGGAUACAUUCGAAAACACCCAAUGGCUACCUGAAAACUUUGAGAGUACUGAACCCUAUAUAUACUAUGCUUUUUCCUAUUCAUUCAUACCUAUGAUAAAGUUUAAUUUAUAAAUUAGGCACAGUAAGAGUUUAACAACAAUAAGUAAUAAUAAAAUAGAGCAAUUGUUACAACAGAGAGUUGACUCUUGAAAAACGUGGGGAUUAGAGGUGCUGAUCCCCACUGUAGUCGAAAAUCCACAUAUAACUUUACAGUCGGCCCUCCGAAUCUGUGGUUCUGCAUCCCAGAUUCAACCAUCCACGGAUUGUGGAAUACUGUAGUGUGUAUUUAUUGGGAAAAAAAUCCACGUGUAAGUGGAUCUGCACAGUUCAAACCAGUGUCAUUCAAAGGUCCGCUGUUCUAAGAUAAAAGUUAUGUGAAUGUGGUCUCUCUCUUUCAAAAUACUUUUUUUGUACAAAUGUAAUGCCCUUUUCAUCUUAACUAAUAAGCACUUUCUCGCACUGUGGCCAUAACUUUUGCAGUUUGAGGUUCAACAGCGAAACUAGCACGCAUUUCUUUUUCCUUCUUCACAAUUUCAUGGCGAGUAGAUUCAUUCUUACUGUAUAUCUUUGCAACCUCAGCGUGCAAUUGUUUUCUUUCCUUAAUAAGUCAAGAACUUUUAUCUUUUCACAUUAAGGAAGCAUUUUAUGGCUUCUCUUUGGCAUAUCCGGAUUGCCAGCAUCACCGUCCUUGAGCUUUGAAGCCAUUGUUAAGCAAGAUGAAGGUGACUUGAACACAAGCACUGUGAUACUGCAGCAAUCCGAUAACCUAGACAGCUACUAAGUGACUAAGGGGCAGGAUACAUCAGACAAAAGGAUGAUUCACCUCUCGGGUGAGACGUUCGAGAUAUCAUCACGCUACUCAGAACAGCGCACAAUUUAAAACAAAUGAAUUGCUUAUUUCUGGAAUUUUCCAUUUCAUAUUACAAACCAUGGUUGACCAUGGAUAACUGAAACUGCAGAUAAGGGGGGAUGACUGUACAGACUAAGCACUAAAUAAAUGAAUAUUAUUAUCAUAAAGUGGAUAUUAGAUGUCAUGAAAGGACAUUAGAUAUUAAAUUGCUUCCAAUUUUGAGCUAUCGGGGCAUUUACAGUGACACAAAAUUGGAUGACCUAGGGCUUCCCUGGUGGCGCAGUGGUUAAGAAUCCGCCUGCCAAUGCAGGGGACACGGGUUCGAGCCCUGGUCCGGGAUGAUCCCACAUGCCGCGGAGCAACUAAGCCCGUGCGCCACAACUACUGAGCCUGCACUCUAGAGCCCACGAGCCACAACUACUGAGCCCGCGUGCCACAACUACUGAAGCCCGCGUGCCUAGAGCCCGUGCUCCACAACAAGAGAAGCCACCGCAAUGAGAAGCCCGUGCACCGCAAUGAAGAGUAGCCCCCGCUCGCCACAACUAGAGAAAGUCCGUGCGCAGCAACGAAGACUCAA